AUCAUUGUCUAUGAUAUCUGCAAUGGAAAUGAUCACUAGGCAAUUUCAGCCUUGCAAAUCUAACAUCCAGAUGCCAACCUCACCAUCUUCUGAUUACUAUGUCCCUGGUGCACAAUGCCUGCCUUCACUACAGCCUUUCGCACAAAGCAUUUACCCUGUUGCUUAAUUGUCUGAUCUUCCCACUCCCUUGGAUGAGAACUGCAUCUCUUCCAUCUCUUAUUCUGAGUGGCUUGGCUAGGACGUUCACUGACUCCAUGGGGAAACUUCACCUACAGAGGAAAGAGCCAUCCUCCAGUGGGCAGGUGAUGUGUCCUUGUUCUUUCCCUGACAUGCCCAGUCCUCUUGCAAGUGACUUGAAAGGAUGCACCGGCCUGGCUGCAGGCAGAGGUGUAAAGAAGGUCCUUGCUUCCCCUUCACCUUCUGCCAUGAUUGUAAGUUUCCUGAGGCCUCCCAGCCAUGCUUCCUGUUAAGCCUGUGAAACUCCUUUGGAAUGAAUACACAUCCAGGAGUGAAGAAGACAAGCUCAACUGCCAUUCUGUGAGCAGUUCAAGGCAUAUUGAGUUGCAGGAGUUGUGUGGUGGUCCACUCUGAUGGCAAGCACCCCUUUCUUGAACCGAACAGAGUCAAGUGGAAUCAAAGGACAUUACCUGUUGAUUCUUGGGCAAGGCCCAGAAUUUGGUGGACAUACUUAAAGAAGAAAGGAAUCUUCAGCUAAAGUGUCUACGAUCAAGUCACAUUUGGAGGGCAUGGAUCUUCUGACAGUAGGGGCCAUUCUAGGAUUUUUUGGUUGAAGAGAUGAACUUCAACUUGGUUCCAGAUGGGUGGUCCAGCUAUUCUGCUGACAACAUUUUUCAGGGCAAGGCUUUUGCUACCGGAAUGAUUUAAGGAAGAUCCCUCAGUGUUUCAGAGUAAAGAUACUUCUUUAGCAAAAGAAGUACCUGUGUCAUUGCCCAUCUUGAAGACUGACUUUUAUGGAUUGCUCAAAUACUGAUAUCAGCUCGAUGUCAAUAUAUACUCUUACAUAUAAAAUCCAUCUUCUAAUCAUAAUCACUAGGUGGAUAUUGUUAUGCAAGGAAGAGAUGUGAAUAUACAGGAAAUAAGAUCCUUAAAGGGGUUGCCAUCCAGAUGUUAGAUCAAAGAGAUUAUGAUUCAUUCAACCAAGUCACUGUACUUUUGAAGGCCUAUCCAAGUCGUGGUGCCUUUGGGGUUGCGCCUGUUACUAUUCAAAACUUGGUAUGUGUUAUUCCAUGUAAAUGUUAUGCAAUGAUUCAAAAAUGAAUACCAGGUUGAAAGAUGUUAUAACAGUCCCUUGUUCCAAUGAACUCUACCUUUGUGAGCAGAGGUGACCAAAAAGACCACACUGCAUGACCAGCAGCCCACAAACCAGACUGGGCUAAGUUCUGCUGCUAUUUCUAGAGCUUGCUGCUGUUCAAAGCACUCCUUGGGUCCAGCCAGAAUGCCAUACUUUCUUGAUAUAUUUCCCAUGGCUGCUUCAUUUGUUGUUCAUUUCUCUUAGUGCUUAUAGUAGGUUAUUGUUUGAGGUGGCAUAUCUGUACCUCCUAAUAAAAUAUUUUUGGGUCCACAUUUUCCACUCAAAAUCACAGUAGCCAUGAUGAACACCUGGCAUCCUUUGGACAGCUUUCCAUAACUACAUAAUAAUGAGCCAGUUUUUACCAUCCAUAUUAGAUAUGGCUAGAGUGACUAUUUUCUGAACCAAAAUUAUGCUGAGCAUUUGCCAAAUAUCAGAUGAAUUUAAAGCCCUAGAAGUAUCUAAGAAAGUCCAAGGGGAGUGUCAUUGUUCUAGACUUAGUUCAAAAGAUGCUAGACAAUGGCGUCCAAGUUCAGCCUUUGUAGUUAACUUACCCUUGCUGUUAUAGGUUUUAUUCUCUGCUGAGGGCCACAGAGCCUCACCGUUGGUUUGCCCCACACACAACAGGGUGAAUUCCUACUCUUUUGUCAAUUAGGAAUUUUCCAGGCAAUGUGUUUACCUCUUGGGUAAAUACAUUACUUUCAUCAGUGUAACUUAACUAUAAAGUAUUUUUAGAGGAUCAGAUUAUUUGAGUAUGGCUGUGAUAAGUCUCUCCUUAAAUGGACCUUAACAAAGUAGAAAGAAAACGUUAGCAGACAUUUCAGACUAAUGAUGUUUUCUUUUUUUCAAGUGGGUUAUUUAGAGUUGAAUAGCAAUUACUUAAAGCUAGUAGCAUAGGAACAUUUUCUGUGAUAAUGUUUAUUUAUGUUUUUUCAUUCUAUAACAUUCAGCAUGUGACAAAGGAAUUGGAGAAAAGACUAGUCGAAUCUGGAGCCAUGCAAUUAAUGAAAUCCAUAUGUUUGAAGAAUCGUUUUAUAUAACUCCCAUGCUUUUGAUAUUUCCUAGAACGUCUUAGAUUGAGGUCAUUGUGCACUAUUAACAGAGUCCUGGUUAAUAAUGUACAAUGACCUUAAUUCAACAUGUUUUCAAUGAAUAGCUGAACUUCACGCUUAUAACAUCCUGACUAUGCUUACAAAUAUUUUUCUAAAUUGCUGGUCUGUUUGCAGAUGCAUUAUCAGUGGCAUGCAAAAAAUAAGAUUAUGCCUCGUUUAGGAUUCUGUUUCUUGUAAAGUCCAAUCACUGCUGCAUUAAGAUAGGUAUGGGAAUGUGUAGGCAAAGUCACAUAUAGUGACACACAUUGGAUAAAAAAUAUAAACUUCAGCCACAUGAUUCUUUCACUCAAAAACAUAAUGUGGCUCUCCUUUAUAUCUUUUUUAGAUGAUUUGCAUAGAUUUCCAUUGUGUGUAUGUGCUAUAAUUUAUUUUAAUAAACCCCCACUAAUUGAC
rnacentral:antisense_RNA from 1 species